CCAGACUCCUACGGGAGGCAGCAGUGGGGAAUAUUGCACAAUGGGGGAAACCCUGAUGCAGCAACGCCGCGUGAGUGAUGACGGCCUUCGGGUUGUAAAGCUCUGUCUUCAGGGACGAUAAUGACGGUACCUGAAUAAGAAGCCCCGGCUAACUACGUGCCAGCAGCCGCGGUAAUACGUAGGGGGCAAGCGUUAUCCGGAUUUACUGGGUGUAAAGGGAGCGUAGACGGCUGGCCAAGUCUGAAGUGAAAGCCCGGGGCUUAACCCCGGAACGGCUUUGGAAACUGGCCGGCUGGAGUGCUGGAGAGGCAGGCGGAAUUCCUGGUGUAGCGGUGAAAUGCGUAGAUAUCAGGAGGAACACCGGUGGCGAAGGCGGCCUGCUGGACAGUAACUGACGUUGAGGCUCGAAAGCGUGGGGAGCACACAGGAUUAGAUACCCCAGUAA
rnacentral:rRNA from 1 species